UGGGGAAUAUUGGACAAUGGGCGCAAGCCUGAUCCUGCCAUGCCGCGUGAGUGAUGAAGGCCUUAGGGUUGUAAAGCUCUUUCACCGAUGAAGAUAAUGACGGUAGUCGGAGAAGAAGCCCCGGCUAACUUCGUGCCAGCAGCCGCGGUAAUACGAAGGGGGCUAGCGUUGUUCGGAAUUACUGGGCGUAAAGCGCACGUAGGCGGAUAUUUAAGUCAGGGGUGAAAUCCCGCAGCUCAACUGCGGAACUGCCUUUGAUACUGGGUAUCUUGAGUAUGGAAGAGGUUAGUGGAAUUGCGAGUGUAGAGGUGAAAUUCGUAGAUAUUCGCAGGAACACCAGUGGCGAAGGCGGCUAACUGGUCCAUAACUGACACUGAGGUGCGAAAGCGUGGGGAGCAAAACAGGAUUAGAUACCCUGGUAGUCCACGCCGUAAACGAUGAAUGUUAGCCGUCGGCAAGUUUACUUGUCGGUGGCGCAGCUAACGCAUUAAACAUUCCGCCUGGGGAGUACGGUCGCAAGAUUAAAACUUAAAUGAAUUGACGGGGUCAUAGCUGUUUCCU
rnacentral:rRNA from 1 species